rnacentral:rRNA from 1 species
AACGAACGCUGGCGGCAUGCCUAACGCAUGCAAGUCGAACGAGACCUUCGGGUCUAGUGGCGCACGGGUGCGUAACGCGUGGGAACCUGCCCUUAGGUUCGGAAUAACUCCACGAAAGGGGUGCUAAUACCGGAUAAUGUCUUCGGACCAAAGAUUUAUCGCCUUUGGAUGGGCCCGCGUUGGAUUAGCUAGUUGGUAGGGUAAAAGCCUACCAAGGCGACGAUCCAUAGCUGGUCUGAGAGGAUGAUCAGCCACACUGGGACUGAGACACGGCCCAGACUCCUACGGGAGGCAGCAGUGGGGAAUAUUGGACAAUGGGCGAAAGCCUGAUCCAGCAAUGCCGCGUGAGUGAUGAAGGCCUUAGGGUUGUAAAGCUCUUUUACCCGGGAUGAUAAUGACAGUACCGGGAGAAUAAGCUCCGGCUAACUCCGUG